AUGCCAACUUUCUCGUAUGCCUUCUAUGUGUUUCUUGUGCUUUUUCGUGGCCUUUGCAUUGAUCUUUUCGCGUCUUUGGUGUUUUGCGUGUGUGUCUCAGGUGGUGGCUCUCGCCGGUCCAACCCCAGUCGUGACACUGGCUCCAAACGUCUGCGUAACCCAGGUGAAGUACCAGAGGGCUCGUCUGCCUCCAAGCGCAAUGUCAAGCACUCAGCUAGCAAGCACAAGGAGCCCGCUACGGGCAUGGAUGAGAUAGCACAAGCUGAUUAUGUCCGUCUCAGGCAGCUUCACCCUUAUGUGCACCCGCGUGCCACUUUCAGAGGCUGUGAGCUGUUCUGGAACAAGCAACAGACCAACAUCUAUCUGGAUGUCAUCAAGAACAAGCAGAAUACCUAUGUGGAGGUGAAGUGGAUUGAUAUGCAUCACAUGAGGAAGGACAAGUUUCGUGACUACUUUGGAGAGGCUCUGGACUUGGUGGAGCAGUUUGGCAUUGAGCAUGUGUUAACCUUCCACCUCGACUAUGACCCUGAGCUUAUUUGUCAGUUCUUUGCCUCAGUCUACUUUCACUCUGAUGAGGAACGGAGGAUGACCUGGAUGACCAAUGGCCGUAAGCUGUCUGCUACCUGGAAGGAGUUCAUGGAUCUCCUCCAGGUUCCUGAUGAUGGGCUCGACUCUUCAGUGGGUGUUCGCCCCCAUGCCAAUGCUGAGUCUGGCAGCAAGGACAGGCUUGCCCCAUUCAUGGUUGAGAAGGCGCUCGCCAAUGGCAAGACAACUUUGGUGCUCAACCCUUUCCUGGAUAUCAUGUAUCGCAUCUUCCGCAACUCCUUGUUCCCUCGCAUCGGUGACAAAGACAAGGUUCAUGCCUAUAUGGUGGACAUGAUGCUCAUCUGCGAGGAGGCUCGUUCGUCUCAGUCUCAGCCACUUGAUGUCUCACACAUCAUGUGGUGUGAGCUCCGGUUUGCAGUGUUCAACCGCAAGGUGCCUAUCUAUGGGCCCUAUCUGUUUCUGCUGAUUUCAAAGACUUGGGAGAAGAUGUUCCCUGAUGAGGAGUUUCUUGCUCCAGACUGGGUUCGUCAUGAGCCCAUCUGCCUACGUAUCAAAUUCAACUGGGCCAACACCACUACUCGUGCUGAGGCGUCUGCUGCUAGGGCUGCUGUUGAUGAGGAGGAUGCUGGCGCCGAGGAUGUUGCUGAGGGUUGUGCUGCUAGGCCUUCCCAGAGUGCUGUUAUGCCAUCAUGGGCCAAGAAGCUGAAGGACAAGAUGAAGACUCUUUUCUGCAUGCAAGCCAAGGGGCAGUACAGGAUUCACGUGGCGUCCAAGGAGAGUCGUCGCCGGGACAACAAGAUCUUGCAGCUCUAUGGUGAGGCAGUGUCUGGCGGGUCUGAGGAGCACAUCACUCCAGAGGCAGAGUGGAUGGAGAAGCAGGGCUACAGGUGGACUGAGUCUGAGGAGGAUGUCGAGGAGACCAUCCCUGCUGCCGGGGAGACCGACGGCGAGGCUUGGGACGAGUUCUUUGCUUGA
rnacentral:rRNA from 1 species